UUUAGGUGAUGAAUGCCAUUUUUUGGUCCGUGUUUAUGAUAUCAUGUGAUUAUAUUUUGAUUUGAAUGUUCUGAUAAA